rnacentral:rRNA from 1 species
AACGUAGGAGGCGAGCGUUAUCCGGAUUUACUGGGCGUAAAGCGCGUGUAGGCGGUCUAGCAAGUUGGAUGUGAAAUCUCCUGGCUCAACCGGGAGAGGUCGUUCAAUACUGCUAGGCUAGAGAGCAGUAGAGGGGGGUGGAAUUCCGGGUGUAGCGGUGAAAUGCGUAGAUAUCCGGAGGAACACCAGUGGCGAAGGCGGCCCCCUGGACUGUCUCUGACGCUCAGACGCGCAAGCUAGGGGAGCAAACGGG